rnacentral:rRNA from 1 species
UACGUAGGGAGCAAGCGUUGUCCGGAAUCAUUGGGCGUAAAGCGCGCGUAGGCGGCCCUGUAAGUCCGUUGUGAAAGUCAAAGGCUCAACCUUUGAAAGCCGAUGGAUACUGCAGGGCUAGAGUCCGGAAGAGGCGAGUGGAAUUCCUGGUGUAGCGGUGGAAUGCGCAGAGUAUCAGGAGGAACACCAAUAGCGAAGGCAGCUCGCUGGGACGG